rnacentral:rRNA from 1 species
UACGUAGGGUGCAAGCGUUAAUCGGAAUUACUGGGCGUAAAGCGUGCGCAGGCGGUUGUGCAAGACAGAUGUGAAAUCCCCGGGCUCAACCUGGGAAUUGCAUUUGUGACUGCACGGCUAGAGUGUGUCAGAGGGGGGGGUAGAAUUCCACGUGUAGCAGUGAAAUGCGUAGAGAUGUGGAGGAAUACCGAUGGCGAAGGCAGCCCCCUGGGAUAACACUGACGCUCAUGCACAAAAGACGU